rnacentral:rRNA from 1 species
AUGAACGCUGACAGAAUGCUUAACACCUGCCAGUCCACUUGAAUUUGGGUUUUUAACUUAGGUUUGGGUGGCGGACGGGUGAGUAACGCGUAAAGAACUUGCCUCACAGCUAGGGACAACAUUUGGAAACGAAUGCUAAUACCUAAUAUUAUGAUAAUAGGGCAUCCUAUAAUUAUGAAAGCUAUAAGCGCUGUGAGAGAGCUUUGCGUCCCAUUAGCUAGUUGGAGAGGUAACGGCUCACCAAGGCGAUGAUGGGUAGCCGGCCUGAGAGGGUGAUCGGCCACAAGGGGACUGAGACACGGCCCUUACUCCUACGGGAGGCAGCAGUGGGGAAUAUUGGACAAUGGACCAAGAGUCUGAUCCAGCAAUUCUGUGUGCACGAUGAAGUUUUUCGGAAUGUAAAGUGCUUUCAGUUGGGAAGAAAGAAAUGACGGUACCAACAGAAGAAGUGACGGCUAAAUACGUG